rnacentral:rRNA from 1 species
UCUGGUUGAUCCUGCCAGUAGUCAUAUGCUUGUCUCAAAGAUUAAGCCAUGCAUGUCUAAGUAUAAGCAAUUUAUACAGUGAAACUGCGAAUGGCUCAUUAAAUCAGUUAUCGUUUAUUUGAUAGUUCCUUUACUACAUGGUAUAACUGUGGUAAUUCUAGAGCUAAUACAUGCUUAAAAUCUCGACCCUUUGGAAGAGAUGUAUUUAUUAGAUAAAAAAUCAAUGUCUUCGGACUCUUUGAUGAUUCAUAAUAACUUUUCGAAUCGCAUGGCCUUGUGCUGGCGAUGGUUCAUUCAAAUUUCUGCCCUAUCAACUUUCGAUGGUAGGAUAGUGGCCUACCAUGGUUUCAACGGGUAACGGGGAAUAAGGGUUCGAUUCCGGAGAGGGAGCCUGAGAAACGGCUACCACAUCCAAGGAAGGCAGCAGGCGCGCAAAUUACCCAAUCCUAAUUCAGGGAGGUAGUGACAAUAAAUAACGAUACAGGGCCCAUUCGGGUCUUGUAAUUGGAAUGAGUACAAUGUAAAUACCUUAACGAGGAACAAUUGGAGGGCAAGUCUGGUGCCAGCAGCCGCGGUAAUUCCAGCUCCAAUAGCGUAUAUUAAAGUUGUUGCAGUUAAAAAGCUCGUAGUUGAACUUUGGGCCCGGUUGGCCGGUCCGAUUUUUUCGUGUACUGGAUUUCCAACGGGGCCUUUCCUUCUGGCUAACCUUGAGUCCUUGUGGCUCUUGGCGAACCAGGACUUUUACUUUGAAAAAUUAGAGUGUUCAAAGCAGGCGUAUUGCUCGAAUAUAUGAGCCAUGGAAUAAUAGAAUAGGACGUUUGGUUCUAUUUGUUGGUUUCUAGGACCAUCGUAAUGAUUAAUAGGGACGGUCGGGGGCAUCAGUAUUCAAUUGUCAGAGGUGAAAUUCUUGGAUUUAUUGAAGACUAACUACUGCGAAAGCAUUUGCCAAGGACGUUUUCAUUAUCAAGAACGAAAGUUAGGGGAUCGAAGAUGAUCAGAUACCGUCGUAGUCUUAACCAUAAACUAUGCCGACUAUGGAAUCGGUGGUGUUUUUUUUAUGACCCACUCGGCACCUUACGAGAAAUCAAAGUCUUUGGGUUCUGGGGGGAGUAGGGUCGCAAGGCUGAAACUUAAAGGAAUUGACGGAAGGGCACCAACCAGGAGUGGAGCCUGCGGCUUAAUUUGACUCAACACGGGGAAACUCACCAGGUCCAACACAUAAGGAUUGACAGAUUGAGAGCUCUUUCUUGAUUUUGUGGGUGGUGGUGCAUGGCCGUUCUUAGUUGGUGGAGUGAUUUGUCUGCUUAAUUGCGAUAACGAACGAGACCUUAACCUACUAAAAUAGUGGUGCUAGCAUUGCUGGUUAUCCACUCUUAGAGGGACUAUCGGUUUCAAAGCCGAUGGAAGUUUGAGGCAAUAACAGGUCUGUGAUGCCCUUAGACGUUCUGGGCCGCACGCGCGCUAACACUGACGGAGCCAGCGAGUCUAACCUUGGCCGAGAGGUCUUGGUAUCUUGUGAAACUCCGUCGUGCUGGGGAUAGAGCAUUGUAAUUAUUGCUCUUCAACGAGGAAUUCCUAGUAAGCGCAAGUCAUCAUCUUGCGUUGAUUACGUCCCUGCCCUUUGUACACACCGCCCGUCGCUAGUACCGAUUGAAAUGGCUUAGUGAGGCCCUCAGGAUCUGCUUAGAGAAGGGGGCAACUCCAUCUCAGAGCGGAGAAUUUGGACAAACUUGGUCAUUAGAGGAACUAAAAGUCGUAACAAGGUUUCCGUAGGUGAACCUGCGGAAG